UCGGGAAUUUUGGGCAAUGGGCGAAAGCCUGACCCAGCAACGCCGCGUGAAGGAUGAAGUAUUUCGGUAUGUAAACUUCGAAAGAAUAGGAAGAAUAAAUGACGGUACUAUUUAUAAGGUCCGGCUAACUACGUGCCAGCAGCCGCGGUAAUACGUAGGGACCAAGCGUUGUUCGGAUUUACUGGGCGUAAAGGGCGCGUAGGCGGCAAUUCAAGUCAUCUGUGAAAUCUCCGGGCUUAACUCGGAACGGUCAGAUGAUACUGCUUUGCUAGAGUGCAGAAGGGGCAAUCGGAAUUCUUGGUGUAGCGGUGAAAUGCGUAGAUAUCAAGAGGAACACCUGAGGUGAAGACGGGUUGCUGGGCCGACACUGACGCUGAGGCGCGAAAGCCAGGGGAGCAAACGGGAUUAGAUACCCCCGUAGUCCCUGAGCGGGCUGGCAAGGCGCAU
rnacentral:rRNA from 1 species